UAAUUAAAUUAUUAUUAAUUAUGUUUAAUUUUAAUGUUUUUAAAAAAAGAAUUUGGUUUUUAGUAGUUUUUAUUGGAAUAAUUUUAUUUAUUAUAGUUUAAAGUACUGUGAAGGGAGUUUUUUUAUUUAUUUAAAGUAGUUUUAAUUUAAUGUACCUUUUGUAUCAGGGUUAAUUAAAUUAAUUGAAUGGAUUAUUGUUUUCCCGAAAGAGAGGGAGAUAAUUCAACAUGUUGUUUUUUGUUUCAAAAAAAUUGUUAAUGUUGAAUUAGUAAUGAUAUGUUAUUCAUCCUCUUAUAUCUGGUUUUUCUAGAAUUUAAUUGAAUUAAGGUUUAUUAUUUAUGUAUUUACUUAAAUUAAAGUUUUAUAAGCUAAGGGUUUUAGGGAUAAGCUUGAAGUCUUGAAUUAUAAUUAAUAAUUAUAAUUGAAUUAAGUAGGCUUAGAAUCAGCCAUCUUAAAUUUCGUUAUAGAUUUUUUCUUUGUUUGUUUUAUUUUAUUUAAUUUAAUUUUUUAUAGAAUUUACUUAAUUAAUAAUUAAUUAAGUGUAAUAAUGAUUUAAUUAGUAAGGAUUAUAAAUUAAUUUAUAGUAAUUCGGCAAUUUUGAUGUUCGCCUGUUUAACAAAAACAUGUCCUUUUGUUUAUUUAUUUAAGGUCUGGCCUGCCCAAUGAUUAGUUUAAUGGCCGCGGUAUUUUAACCGUGCUAAGGUAGCAUAAUCACUUGUCUUUUAAUUGAAGGCUGGAAUGAAUGGUUUGACGAAAUAUCAGCUUUCUUUAAAUUAAGAAUUGGAAUUUAAUUUUUUAGUUAAAAAGCUAAAAUGUAUUAAUGGGACGAGAAGACCCUAUAGAUCUUGAAUUAAACUUUAUUUAAGGAAGUUUAGCUUUUUUAUAAGUUUAAGUGAAGUUUUAUUUUGGUUGGGGUGACUAAGGAAUUUUAAUAACUUCCGUUAGAUUUAUGUCAUUAAUUGGUGAUUUAAUGAUCCAUUUGUAGUGAUUAUAAGAAUAAGAUACCUUAGGGAUAACAGCGUAAUUUUUUCGGAUAGUUCAUAUUGAUGGAAUAGUUUGCGACCUCGAUGUUGGAUUAAAAUAAGUAGUAAAUGCAGUAGUUUACUUACUAGGUCUGUUCGACCUAUAAUUUUUUACAUGAUCUGAGUUCAGACCGGCGUGAGCCAGGUCAGUUUCUAUCUUUUAGUUAGUUUUAAUGUUUUAGUACGAAAGGACCAGACAUUAGGAAUAAUUUUUGAUUUUAUGAUUUAUAA
rnacentral:rRNA from 1 species